rnacentral:lncRNA from 1 species
CAAAAAGGUGUUUUGAGAGCUUAGGAGACAAGACAAGCUGAAGGAAAACCGUUGGGGAAUAUUGGCCCACGAAGACUCAUGUGCAAGGCAGAUUGUUUCCCACGAUGGACUCCAGUGCAGAGUUAACACGCUGCCAUACUCACGAGGUUGAGAGUCCUAUUGCUCUGCACAUAUGCGUUGCAGAAGAAACAUCUGUUGCUGUAUGUUACGCCAUCAGAGCCACAGUGGGGUACGUAUUCCAUGGUGCAGAUGGGAGAGACUUUCUGGAACUCACGGCAAUGUUCCUUUGUUAUAUCCUCUUCACAUCUUCCGUUCUUUCUCUUGCCAAGAUUGGUCCGCUGCUCCAGGUUGUGAGCGCACAGCGUGCAUUCGCUGGCAUAGGUGACACCAUUGGUAGCACAGACGGGAUCGUAGAUCAUGGUGCAGGCCACCACCUGUCUGCCAUCCUUCAGCGUGGAGGUUUUGUACUUGCUGCAGUCAAGCUCAGGAACCUCCUCUCUGCACCUCCCAUCGUGCUUUUUGGCAACG